rnacentral:lncRNA from 1 species
UUCAAGUUUCAUCUUUAAAGAUUAAAGCCUUUUCCAAGUUCUUUCAAGUGGUUGAAGAUCAAUCCAUGGAGCUUUUAAGGAGAAGCAAACUUUUUAUCAUAAAAACCAUCAUCAAAAACUCAUUUAUAAUCAUGAAAGGGAACUAAGGGAUCUGGCACGGUAUGGCACGUUUUCCCGCUGCACUAGUACAAGGUCAUCCGGGGUUUAGGGAAUGUGACUCUUUCCUGGAC